GUAGUCAUAUGCUUGUCUCAAAGAUUAAGCCAUGCAUGUCUAAGUGUAAGCAAUUUAUACUGUGAAACUGCGAAUGGCUCAUUAAAUCAGUUAUCGUUUAUUUGAUAGUACCUUACUACAUGGAUACCUGUGGUAAUUCUAGAGCUAAUACAUGCUAAAAACCCCGACUUCGGAAGGGGUGUAUUUAUUAGAUAAAAAACCAACGCCCUUCGGGGCUCCUUGGUGAAUCAUAAUAACUAAACGAAUCGCAUGGCUUUGCGCCGGCGAUGGUUCAUUCAAAUUUCUGCCCUAUCAACUUUCGAUGGUAGGAUAGUGGCCUACCAUGGUGGCAACGGGUAACGGGGAAU
rnacentral:rRNA from 1 species